AACGUAGGAGGCAAGCGUUAUCCGGAAUUACUGGGCGUAAAGCGCACGUAGGUGGCGACGUAAGUCGGGUGUGAAAUCCCUGGGCUCAACCUCGGGAAGCGGCAUUCGAGACUGUGUUGCUGGAGUACGGAAGAGGAGGGCGGAAUUCCCGGUGUAGCGGUGAAAUGCGUAGAUAUCUGGAGGAACACCGAUGGCGAAGGC
rnacentral:rRNA from 1 species